rnacentral:lncRNA from 1 species
ACCUGUGACAGAGGAGAAGACUUGAAUUUGUGGAGCUGAGUGUCUCUGCCUGGGUCACCCCAGUUUAUCAGUUAAGCCAGAGAAGGUCUAAAGUCCUUCUGGCCAGCCUUCUACUUCGGUGAAAAGUAAAUAAGUGGACAGUGUUAAAUCUACAACCAUCCCUGCUCCAGACUUUUCGGGAAGAAAUGGUACUUUGUAAAGAAGGUACCCGGUGGAUGGAGUCAAGAACAGACAUUUGUGAAUCAACAAGGACCACCAACUGCCCUUAAUCCUAUAGAAAGUCUGGGGAAACUGAGGUUUAAAGAUAUAAAUCUCUUGCCCAAGUUGUUUUCUUUUUUAAACUUUAUUUUAUGUGUAUGAAUGUUUCCCCUGCGUGUGUGUUCAUGUGCCACAUGCAUGCAGUGCCUGCAGAGGCCAGAAGAGGGGUGUCGGAUCCCCUGGCAUUAUAGAAGACUGUGACCCGCCAUGUGGGUGCUAGGAACUGAACCUGGAUCCUGGGGAGGAGCAGGCAGUGCUCUCAACCUCUGAGCCACGUCUCCAGCUCCUGAGUGACUACCAACCUGGGAUCAGGCUUCUUACUUCUGUACAAGUAAUCCUUCAUGAGGAAGAGAGACCAAGUCUGGAAUGCGGUGAAGUAAGCAGAGAAGAUUUUAUGGCGUUUCACAAAUUUCUCUUGGCCUCCGAGACAGCAAAAUAAUCAUACAAAGAAACCAAGCCCUUUGCCUGCAGGACAAUACAUGGGUUUUUAUUAAAAGAGGAAUUUAAAUGC